AUGGCCACAUUAUGUUGAAACACUGGCUCCUGUACGAUCACUGUAGUUAAGCAAUAUCAAGCCUGGUUAGUACCUAGAUGGGUGACCACUUGAGAAUAACAGGUGCUGUAG